AUAGAGAUAGCUCAGCAGUUAAGAGAACUAGCUGCUCUUCCAGAGAACCUGGGUUCAAUUCCCAGUACCUAUA
rnacentral:tRNA from 1 species